rnacentral:lncRNA from 10 species
UUUCUAGGGUUUAAGGAAGUGACAGACAUGAGGCCAUUCUUUUGCCCCCUUUUCAGAAACUCUUGGUUUUGGAUCACUAUUGUGUUUAACUUCCUUAAGACUAAUUCUCCUGUUGUGCUAGACAUUUUGAACUCAGUGAGAUCUCAACUGCAAUAUAAUUGGUAUGCUGUGUCAGACAUCAGGUCGGCUGACCACCAGAGACCAGGAAGAGGACUCUCAUGUGGCAAUCCCCUGUCUGGGCAAACUUUAUUGAGGUAUGAUUGACAAAUAAAACUUGUAUAUAAUUAAGGUAUAUAACGUGAUGUUUUAAUAUACAUUCAUGUACUGCAUAACAAUCUUUUAGUCAACAACAGACCGCAUAUACAAUGGUGGGCUCCUAAGAUUACAAUGGAGCUGAAAAAUUCCUAUUGUCUAGUAGGCAAGGCAUCAUAGUGCAAUGUGAUACUCACCUGUUUGUGUUGAUGCCGAUAUAAACAAACCUGCGGCAUUGCCAGUCAUGUAAAAGUAUAGCACACACAAUAACAUACAGUAUAUAAUAAUAAUAAAUGACUAUUACUGGUUUAUGUAUUUGCUGGAGGGGCGGGGCCCUCAGGGACAACCUCUUGCUAAGGCAAUGAAGAAGGGAAAUGUGGGGUCAGAGCCCCCACACAAAGUUCCUACUAGGGCACUGCCUAGUGGAGCCAUGAGAAGUGGACCACAGUCCUCCAGACCUCAAAAUGUUAGAUCCAUUACCAGCUUGGAUUGUGUGCCUGGAAAAGCUGCAGACACUCAAUGACCGCCCAUGAAAGCAGCAGAGAUGGGCGCUGGACCCUGCAAAGCCACAGCGGUGGAGCUGCCCAAGACCAUGGAAACCCACCUCUCACAUCAGCGUGACCUGGAUGUGACACAUGGAGUCAAAGGAGAUCACUUUAGAACUUUAAAGUUUAAUGACUGGUCUAUUGGAUUUUGGACUUGUGUGGGGCCUGUAGCCCCUUUGUUUUGGCCAAUUUCUCCCACUUGGAAAAGGUGUAUUUUACCCAAUGCCUGUACCCCCAUUGUAUCUAGGAAGUAACUAACUUGCUUUUGAUUUUACAGGCUCAUAGGCAAAAGGGACUUGCCUUAUCUCAGAUGAGACUUGGGACUUGGACUUUUGAGUUAAAGCUAAAAUGAGUUAAGACUUUAGGGGACUGUUGGGAGGGAAGGCAUGAUUGGUUUUGAAAUGUGAGGACAUGAGAUUUGGGAGGGGCCAGGAACAGAAUGAUAUGUUUUGGCUGUGGCUCUACCCAAAUCUCAUCUUGAAUUGUAGUUCCCAUAAUCCCCAUGAGUCAUGGGAGGGGACCUUGUGAGAAGUAAUUGAAUCAUGAGGGGCGGGCUUUUCCUGUACUGUUCUUGUAAUAGUGAAUAAAGUCUCACGAGAUCUGAUGGUUUUAUAAAGGGAAAUUCACCUGCACACUCUGUCUUUUCUCCCACCAUGUAAGACCUGUCUUCACUCCUCCUUCCCCUUCUGCCAUGAUUGUGAGGGCUUCCCAGCUACAGGGACUUGUGAGUCCAUUAAACCUCUUUUUCUUUAUAAAUUAUGCAGUCUCAGGCACUUCUCCAUAGCAGUAUGAAAAUGGACUAAUACUCUAAUCAAACCGUUUUUUCAGAACAUAUCCCCAUCAUUAAGCUAUUCAUGACUGUAUAUACGUUGUGAAGUGAUUCGUAUGAUCAAGUUAAUUAGCAUAUCCAUCACUGCACAUAGUUACUUUUUUUGGGGGGAGAGUAUGGUAAGAGAUCUACUCUCAAAAAUAAGAAAAAUCUUUUAACUAAAACUUAUUUGUACUCAGAUAUUCAGGCUGUUUUAAUUGUCCAGUAUUUUUGUUUGUUUGUUUUCAAAAAAGUCAUUUCCCAAAACAUUGCUUAGGUUAAUACUUAAAGUUAGUUUAAAUCUGUAGAGAAAGGCAGUUCGAAAGUAUGCUAUCCUUGCAUUAAUUCAUUCAUCCAAAAACAUGCAUUAAAUACCUUCUAUGUGCCACUGAAUAAGAACACAAGGUCCUAAAAAGUGUAUCAAAUGAAAAAACAGUAACAAAUAUUUAUGCAGAAUAUAAAGCUAUGGAGAAAUGCUAGCUUUGAAAGUUCACAAGACGAGGUUCCCUAAGGCUAAUUUGAGGUUCAGAACUGGGGAAAACCAACUUAUUCCGGAAAGAUCUUACAGAGGAGCUACUUUAGGCAGCCAGGUUGGAAAUAUUAUUCCUCUUAAUGGCUAAUACAUAUAAAACGCUAACUUUAUUGUUUGUGCUUUAAAUCAUUCCAAAUCAAGUUGUAACUCAGGAGAAUAAAAUUAUCUUUCUAAACAAA